CUCUUAGACCCUAAUCAUUAACCUUAUGACAACACACUCAAAAGCUUAGAUAAUUAACUAGUUGGGCCUUAAUAAAUCUGUAGGCCCAAAACACAAAAGAACAAGUCCACUUUACUUUGAUGACAUAACCUUCUUCUUCUUUUUCGAGCUCAUCUUCUCCAAAAACCUCUUCUUCUCAUUCUUCUCUUUCUUUGACUCUUCUUCAAUCAUUUUCUGAUUCUUGUGCUUUUUGUCUUUUGCAGGAGCGACCAAACGAUCAUAUUUCAACACUUCCUCUUGAUCUUUUGUGUUACUCUUCAUAUUUCAGCUCAAGGUUUUGAGCGUUCUUCUUUUUUUGUUUCUCUAGUCUACAAUAGAGGAGCUCAUAGAUUUGAGGUUUUCCAUCUUCUGAAUAUCCUUUUCAUCAAACGUUAAGUCUCCAAACUUAAUGUCACCAAACUUGAUGUCGUCGAACUUGAUGUCUUGUGAUUUUCUAAACAUAGGUCUGCUCUGCAUUUUUGAAUUGCUUCUUAGUAGUCUCCUUAUUCUCUAGCAAUAUUUUCUUUCUUUGACUAGUGUCAUUGUUGAUAACUCUUUUUCAUUUUCUAGUCAUAAUCUUAACAUCUACUUUUCCUUUAGACAUAAGAACAACUCCAUUUCCAAUUAGAAUUGGUACCUUGAAUGUUGAAUAGAUUCUAACGAACAAAUGCUUGUUUGGACUCAUGUGGUGAGUGCAUCCACUGUCAAUGAGCCAAGUAUCCUCUUCAAACGAUUCUUGAGUUGCUAGUCUUGCUGUGAACAUUUGAUAUCUUGUUCUUCUACCUCUUUUACCUCCCAGGUUCUUGUUCUUGAUUUACUUGAGCUUGUUCAGAUUUUCUGUUUUUGCAAUCUCUCAUGAUAUGCCCUUGUUUUCCACAGUUAAAACAACUUCUAGUUUCUCUGUUGCUGAAGUUAUUGUUGCUAUUGACUUUAGGCUUGUUUCUCCAAUGCUUGAUAAAUCAAAAAUCUUAAUUAUGAGUGUCUCUUUUACAAAAACCGCACCACCUUUUUCUCUCUCAAGCCAUACUGUCUUGAGUUUUCGCUCUCAUUGCCUUUUGAUUUCUGGUUAUUGAAACGUGCUACAAACGCUCUACCUAUGUGUUCUUCUUCAUCCGGAAAAAAACUUUUUCAAAUGAGCUUCAAAGAACCUAUAAUCUCAGAAAAGGAGUAUUCCAGAAGAUCCCCUUCUUGUUUGGCCAUUGUUGCUGAGAGGAUUUUGUCGAAGACAGACUCAGCAACCGCAUGUUUAAUGAUCUGAAGAGCAGAAGUAUCUUUUGACUUUGAGAGCCUUCAUGUUUGCAGCUUCCUUUAUAUGCUCUGCUCUGGGAGGCUCUAAGACUUAAGAUGAUAAUAAUUCUGGGACACCUUCUUUGACCACAUCCCAUAGAUCCUUCUUCCUAAGAGUUGUACGCAUCCUUGCCAUCCAAAAAUUGUAAUUUUACCAUCAAACACAGCCACAAGAUGUGAGGAUUGCAAGUUAAUCGCCAUAACACUCAACUUUUUACUACCCUUUUAUUUCACUCUUUUAGAAAAACUUGCACAGGUUCCACAUAUCAGAUAGAGCUCUGCUACCAUGUUGAGAAUCACUCAAAAACAGGUUUUAUUUUCUCUUUCUAUUGAUUUCCCUCAAAACGUUUCAGAACAUUCUCUGUCAAAAACUCAUUUUCCUUUCUUUUUCAAUACCUUAAUACAACACCAACGUUCACAUAUUUAAUACCUCAAGACCUCUCAAGGGACGCAUGCCCCCCAACACUCAAGACCAUAAAACGUAAAAUAACAACAGCAUAAAGCCACCCUACAACUUCUCGAAACUAUUUCAACUCAAAGUUUUGAAGCGUUCUUCUUUUUUUUGUUUCUCUGGUCUACAAUGGAGGAGCUCUCUUCAAAGCAUCAACAUAACUCAUAGGCUCGAUCUUCUUGAAGGACACAUUACCUUGCUGAUUACUAGCUUCAGACUUAUUCUUCCUUAUCAGGUACUUUAUAGGCUUGAUCUCAGAUUCCAUGAUAUUUUGCUUGUUUGAUGACAGCUUGCUCAGGUUUGAACCAUUGACGUUGGAAGCUUUUUGAGGAGACGACCCUUCACGUAUAUCAUGAGCCACCACCAUUGAGGUUUCUCUAAUAGAAGAUAUCUUGAGAUGAAAACUGUUCUUGAUCAUUUGAACUUCAGCAAUACUCUUUCCAGCUUUGUCAAGAAUGACGCAGCUGUGUUGUUUAAAAACAACUUCAUAUCCAUUCUCAAUCAUCUCAGAAACACUCAACAAAUUCUUGGUGGUUUCAAGUACAAAAAAAGACAUUUCUAAUGACUCAUUUUCCUCUUCAAGUCAUAAUCUCAACAUCGACUUUUCCUUUAGACAUAAGAACAUCUCCAUUUCCAAUUAGAAUUGGUACCUUGAAAGUUGAAUAGAUUCUAACGAACAAAUGCUUGUUUGGAGUCAUGUGGUGAGUGCAUCCACAGUCAAUGAGCCAAGUAUCCUCUUCAAAAAAAAAUUAUUGAGUUGCUAGUCUUGCUGUGAACAUUUGAUUUGCUUGUUCUUCUACCUCUUUAACCUCCUCAUGUUCUUGUUCUUGAUUUACUUGAGCUUGUUCAGAUUUUCUGUUUUUGCAGUUUCUCAUGAUAUGCCCUUGCUUCCCAUAGUUGAAACAACGUCUAGUUUCUCUAUUGAUGAAGUUAUUGUUGUUGUUGGCUUCAGACCUGUUUCUCCCAUGCUUGAUAAUUCAGACUUCUUCAUUAUGAGUGUCCCUUUUAAAAACACCGCACCACCUUUUUCUCUAAAGCCAUACUGACUUGAGCUUCCCCUCUUAUUGCCUUUUGAUUUCUGGUUAUUGAAACGUGCCACAAACGCUCCAUCUGUGUCUUUUUCUUCACCCGGAAAAAACUUUUUCUCAUGAGCAUCAAGAGAACUGAUAAUCUCAGCAAAGGUAACAGUUCUUAGAUCAUUUGUUUCCACCAUAAGAGAUGAUAAAGAAGCAUAACGUUUUCGCAUGGAAACCAAUACCUUGACACCAAAUCAAAAUCAGAUCUACCUUCUCAUAAAGCCCUCAUCUAGUUAGCAACAAGUUGAAUUAUAUAUGAGAGUACUCCAGAAGAUCCCAUGCUUGUUUGGCCGUUGUUGCAGAGAGGAUUUUAUCGAAGAUAGAAUUAGCAACCACAUGUUAAAUGAUAUGAAGAGCGAAAGUAUCUUUGACUUUGAGAUCCUUCACAUUUGCAGCUUCCUUUAUAUGCUCUGCUCUGAGAGUCUCUAAGACUUUGGAUGAUGAUAAUUCUGGGACACCUUCUUUGACCACAUCCCAUAGAUCCUUGUUCCUAAGAGUUGUACGCAUCUAUGCCACCCAAAACUCGUAAUUUUGAUCAUCAAACACAGCCACAAGCUGUGACGAUUGCAGAUUAAUCGCCAUAACACUCGAAUUUUUACUACCCUUUUGAAAAACUUGCACAUGUUCCACAGAUUAGCUAGAGCUCUGCUACCAUGUUGAGAAUCACUCAAAAACAGGUUUUCUUUUCUCUUUCUCUUGAUUUCCCUCAAAACGUUUCAGAACAUACUAUCUCAAAACUUAUUUUCAUUUCUU